rnacentral:lncRNA from 1 species
UUAAAAUAAAUACAAAUAGUAUUUGAAAUGUAAGAAGUUUGGUAAGCAGAUAUAUAUCGACAGCAGAACGACAACCGGCCAGUUAACCUCUCAAAAUUGAAUUCAUGUAGCUACAGCCACAUUGGCAAUCAAGAUCAAGGAUACUCAAUUUCACCCUUCUCUUGGUACAUGUAGCUUUCAAUCAUCAUUAUAAUUUGACCUUUUUCCAACAUCAUAGUCAGAUCAUCAUCCACUGACAAAUUCAUUUACAUGUACGCAAGCAAUGACACCCUUCCCGACAUAAGUUUAAAUUGCUUAAUUUGCCUAAACAUCAACCUUUGUCAUUUAAGAUAAACUAAAGGCUUUUAAAAAAAUAGAGACUCACUACGUUUGGAAGAAGAGGAUUGGAGUAAUUGGUAAAGUUGCUGCCAUGCAACCAGGAGGUGACCUCGGAUUCGAGCCGUGAAAACAGACUCUUGCAGAUAUGUAAGGUAAGACUGCAUAUAAUCGACCCUUGUGGUACGACCCUUCACCGGACCCCGCACAUAGCGGGAGCUUAGUGCACCGGGUUGCCCCUUUUAGAGACUCACUACAUUUCACAUUAUAUCAAAAUAUGCAAAAAUAUGAUUUAAACUAAAAAAUAUUAAAGCAGAAUAUUAACAAAUGAAACAAAACACUUAUUUCUCUUCAAGGAACUCGUCUUCACCUUUCUUCUGUUUCUUCUCAGCCACCUUAUCAAAAUAUUUAUCAUCUAUUUUCUCAACAUUUACCCCACUAACAUCAACUUUAGUCGAAGUAGCAAUAACAUAAGCUUGAUUAACACGUCUUAACGGAACCCCAUUAAGUUUAAAAGGACCAGUAACAAGCAAAACCCCAGAUUUAAGCUGUUUAAGAACACAGCUCUUUUACCCUUAAAUCUUCAGCUAAGAUAAUGAGCACAGUUCCAGGUGUAAUACUUGAUCUUAAUUUUGUGGGUUUGGGUUCGUUUACAAGGGGUUUUGCCACAUCAUCUGCUGGGUAAAAUUUUGGGGGAUUUGAGGUGGGUGGUGUUGGGGUGGGUUUUUUUGGGUGUUGAGGGAAUUUUCCGUUGUUUUUUUUUUCUUGAUCGCUCAUAUGCUUUCUUUUGUGGUACAUUUUGGAACGCGAGAAUUUUCCCACGCCGGGGAUUAGGUCUGAGUUGCGAAUAGUUUUCUUGGGCGCCAUUGGAGAAGCUUUGAAGGAAGAGAGAGCUAGCUGUAGUUCUAACUCGCAGAUGUAUAGAAAAGGGAAUAUGGUCGACCAAGGGUAAAAGAGUCAUUUAACCAUGUCAUAAAAUGUGUUGUACGUAUUCACUCCAAUGCUGAUUUCACUUUUAUUCUAAUACCAACACUAACUCAUUCAUUUCUUUCAUCUCUCUUGUUCAGUCCAACCAACAACAGAGAAAUAUGAUUCUUGCAUAAAUUUGGACUUUUUUUUGACUUCUCAUUAUUUUUUUAUCGGGGUGUGGCAAUUUCAGGUUAGCAUUUGUAUCAAUCUUUUGCCCUAAUCUUCUUCAGAUUCUCUUCAGAUUUUCAAUUUCAUGGCUUAAUUCAUGGUUGUUUUCUUAUUAUUCUAUCUAACUUUCUCUUCAAUGUCUUUGAGCGUUAUUUUCUUCCUUUGAAUCUCAUUAUUUUGUUCUGGUCAUCUGUUUGUCCUAUGUUGUUUUCUAUUUUUUAUCGAUAUGAUGAAAUUAUUGAUCUCUGAUUCACCGAAGAAUUUUACUGAGUAAAUGAUUUGCAGACUGACCAGUUAACAUGUAAAUAAAAAUCACCCUAAAGCUUAAUUCUCAAAUGAUAGAAUAUAAAUAUAUGCCUUUUACGGCAGCAAGGUAUACUACAAGGUAAAUCAGUCCUCUAAAGAAUGAUCUCUUAUACAUAAUUUGUUUGUUCAACGGGAUGCAUUAGCAAUUGAUGACGGGACCAAGGAUCUUUGGUUGUAAUGCAUCGUUGGUUUAUUUAUAUAAGACCACAUCUUACUAGAAUGGUCCAUUUGCCUAAGUAUAUGGAGUUCUGAAAGACUUUUUGAUUUCUAUAAUCUUAUGUUAAAUUGCAUUGUGCUUGAGGAAUGUGUUUUAUAUCUCUCAGCAUUGAAAAUAUUUUUACUACAAAUGAAGAGUGUUUUCUAUUCAAAUUUAAACUUUAGUAGAAGUUUAUUAAUUCACUGACUUUUAUAUAAAUCUGAUAUAAAGAGCAGCCUAAUGACUUGAGUUAUCCCUUGAUGGAGUAAUAUUGUUUUAGAUACAUUGCAGCAAGCUGCUUCUCUAUUUUUUUAGUACCGUCACAUGGACGUGUCUGAUACUGAAUAAUCUUAGGUGAAGCACUAGAUUUUUCUUGCUAAAAAUGCAGAGAAUCAACUACCGCUUGUUGAAGAAUGAGUAACUCUUGAUAAGGUACCACUAAUUUUAAUAUAUAUAUACUUUAUCAAAAAAAAAAUUAAUAUACAUGUAAUGCCGAUAUAAAAUUUUAUUUAGUUUGAAGUUCAGUCCCUUGGAAAAUUAGUUUUUGUAUUGCGCCUUUUUUUUUAAUCUAGUUAUACUAAAGAAUAGAUGAUAUAAUCAGAAAAGAGAUAUUAAUUUAAAGGAAAAUAUUAUGAAAUCCAUAUUUUUCUUGCAUUAUAGAUUUAUUUUUAUUUUGUUUGUUCAUUGCUUUUUUUAUUUAUUUAAUAAAGCACACACUUUUAUUGCACUUUGCGAUUAGCCCUCGAGCGCCUUUUAGAAAUUUUUGCCUUUAACAAUAGUGGUAACGACAAUCAUUUAUUAUCGUUUCUCUUUUCUCUAUAUUCUUUCCAACUUCUUGACUUUGCAGAUCUUUUAAGAAUUUACAACCUUCAUUCCCACUUAGAAUUUACCUCAUUGAAACGUCUUUAUUCGCUCAUGAAAUACACUAGAAAAGUCACUGAUGUUGCUUAUAAUUUGCUUGAUGUAAUUUUUAUUUUCUACAUAGGUCGUGUGAGUCUUCAUACACUAGCAUAUACUAUUUACACUUUUGGAUUUAAGUUCUUCAUAAUGUUAUACUAUUCUCUGAUAUUAAGUUCUAUUUGUGAGUUACAACACAAUAAAUCUAUAGCACACUAUACUAUUGUCAUGAGAUAUUUUAUAUUCUAUGAAUUUAUGUACUAAGACUGAGGACAAACUAAAAAAAGGAUGGUUUAGCAUGAUUAUUGUGGAGUGUAUUUGGUAACUGUGACAUGAUCUAACUUUAUUUUUUUUGUUCAUAAAUCAUUGCAAAGUGAUUAUAACGUGUUACAAAAUUGAUGCGCUUAUUAGGAAAAAAAUAUUGCAAAUUGAUAAUAAGAACAAGGUAAGAAAUUGAAAAAGAAAAACAUAAUACUUAGACUGGGUACAUUUCAUACAUGUGAUGCUGUUGUGGACAGAAUAAUACAGAAUAGUCAUUGAUGUUACUUGAUUUAUCAAGCAUUCAAAAUUCAUAUUGAUUAACUUCUAAUUGGAAGUUUUAAGAUUAAGCACCAUUUUAAGUUGACUAUAUCUUGAAGGACAUUUUCUGUUUAAUUACAUCUUCUCCAAUAUUUCAUGAAAUCUAACUUGUUUUCAUUUUUUGAAUUUGGUAUAGAUUGAUUAUUCACUAAAGAGCGAAGUUCAAAGGAGUCUAAUGAGUGAGGUAUGUAUAUUAGUUUUGAGCAAUAACAACUCCCUGAACAUAUUUAGAUUUAAGGAAUGUGCUAUGUAGCAAUAAUGUCUUGAAGAGUUGACUCUGCACAAAUAAUUAUUUGGUUUCUUUGAAUAUCUGGCUUAUGGAACUUCAGUUUGACACUUGUAGUGUUAUUUAGUAGAAAAAAGUAGGUUCUUUUGCCUUCUCAUUUCCCCUCCUUUUUGUGAUGAGUAAUAAAAAGAAAAUUUAUUUACAAGCACCAAUACUGAAUGAUGUUGAGAUAAAAAAGAGCAGUCUAAUAUACAAGACAUCUCGUAUUCAGGCAGGAUCUGAAGAAAGGUCGCACCCCAAGAGGUGUUGAUGUAGACGGCCUACCUUAAUGCAAGCAUUAGUGGCUGCUUCCACGGUACGAACUCGUGACCUAUAGGUCAUAUGGAGAUAAAUUUACCAUUUGCUCCAAAGUUCCACUUCUAAGAUAAUGCUGAGAUGAUAUAAAAAAUUCAGUAUAAGUCCAUAUUUUAUUUUUAUAGUGGUGAUAGAAACUGUAUGAAUGUAUCUACUUUCAUAACCGUGUAUGUUCUUGAUAAUUUGCUACUCAUAUGAUUGUGAUUAUUUCUUUCUUUUACUUAAGGGUAAGUAAAAUGUAUCGACCAACUUUUUUGGAGAUCAUUUGCAUUAAAUUUUGGCAUAUCCAUAUAAUUUUAGGAGUUAGCUUAUCAAAGAAAAAGAACCAAGGAAUAGCAUUUCUCCAAUUUUUCCGUAAUUGUUGACCGAUUUAAUCUUAAGGAUAGGAGGAUCUUAUACUCUUUAAUUUAUGAUGCAUCCUUAGAUUAUAGUAAUAGUGUCUUCUCCUUCAAUGACAUUGUUUGAUCUUCUCUAAAGGGGUGUACCUCGACACUUGGGUAUAGUCUUCUAGAGUAGUUUGUUUUCCCUUGGGGUUUCUCUCCCCUUCUUGUCUCUAACUUAUCUUUAUAUCAUGGUAUUUUUCAAAUUUGUGGUGCGGGACUUGUAUUAAUUAAUAUUUUCAAUAGAAAAAAUGUUUAAUAUUUUGUUCUCUUUUCAGAAUAGGAGCAAGAAGCUCUUUUGAUGGAGGUCAAGACGAAUACAAAGUGGUGAUGUUUUCGGCUUCCAGCAAUGCACAAAUUUUUACAAUACUCUUUAUGGUUCUUAAUGGGAUUAUGUGAUUUAUGUUGUUCGUACAUGCAUGGUGUAAGUACUCAAAAACAUAAUACAUCUGGUUGAUCAUGUGGUAUAAAAUGAUGGGUAGGAGAUGAGGAAUUAGUCAUAUGCUUUGAUUAAUAGAAAAGCACAACAAAAUGAAAUAUUCGCUCAAUUUUACACACGUCGGUCGGCCCCUAGGGAAGUAAUAUAUAGUUUUAUGUUUCUAUCACUAUUGAUCAGAAACAGCAUUGUUCUGUUGUGUUUGUGAAAUUAUUG